rnacentral:rRNA from 1 species
AUUGAACGCUGGCGGCAGGCUUAACACAUGCAAGUCGAGCGGAGAUGAGGUGCUUGCACCUUAUCUUAGCGGCGGACGGGUGAGUAAUGCUUAGGAAUCUGCCUAUUAGUGGGGGGGCAACAUUCCGAAAGGAAUGCUAAUACCGCAUACGUCCUACGGGGAGAAAAGCAGGGGGAUCUUCGGACCUUGCGCUAAUAGAUGAGCCUAAGUCGGAUUAGCUAGUUGGUGGGGUAAAGGCCUACCAAGGCGACGAUCUGUAGCGGGUCUGAGAGGAUGAUCCGCCACACUGGGACUGAGACACGGCCCAGACUCCUACGGGAGGCAGCAGUGGGGAAUAUUGGACAAUGGGGGGAACCCUGAUCCAGCCAUGCCGCGUGUGUGAAGAAGGCCUUAUGGUUGUAAAGCACUUUAAGCGAGGAGGAGGCUACUGAGACUAAUACUCUUGGAUAGUGGACGUUACUCGCAGAAUAAGCACCGGCUAACUCUGUG